ensembl:misc_RNA Y_RNA Y RNA
GGCUGGCCCGAAGGUAGUGAGUUAUCUCAACUGAUUUUUCACAGUCAGGAGUUUGAUCUGAAACCCCUUGUUCUACUUUCUCCCCUUCUCACUACUAUGCUUGACUAGUCUUAA